UAUUUGUUCCACAUAACAAGCAAUAAAAUGAGUAACAAAAUGUUAACACGUGCAUUUAAAAACUUUAAACGCCAAAAAUUUAAAUGUCUAAAUUAUGUAUAUUCAUGUAAGCAAUUCACUAAUUACUUAAACAAUAAGUCCAUAGUUUAGAAAAGUUAAAAUUUGUAAAAUAGUUUUUCCCCAUAUCAGUGUAUCUGUCUUGUAUCCACUUGUGAUGCAAGCAUUUCCAUAUUCUGUAUUCUUAAUCGUUGCUACCUAAAUAUUACCUGUAUCUUAUUUCAUCCUGUUUUGACUCGUUACUCACUGGUGGGCGUCCACACUGUGAGCGUUUGUUGUCAGGUUUAUUGAUUGAGUUUAAAAUGGCAUUUUUUUGUUUUUAACUGUGCAAUAUGAUGAGGUGCUGUACAAAUAAAGUUGGACCGCAGAGAAAUACCGGAAAUGGACUGUCACAAAAAUGGGGUCACUGGUCGUCUUUCCUCUGUAUGUCUGACAGAGUCUGGAGGCAAAGUCAGGUAUGUGACGUGGUUAAAUAUCUCAUGCAAGAGAAAGAAAGGAAGAGAAGACGUUAAGUCCAUUUGCUGAGCCAUUGAAAGAUGUCAUACCAGUGCUAACCACAAGAUGGCAGAAAUCGCUCACCAGCCCCUCCAACCCCGAGGCUGGAAUUGAGAAGAAGAGCGUGUCAUGUCCUCGUAACAUCGAUCUCCAAAGUAUAUAAACAACAGUUAUCUCUUUUUUUCCACAUAGCUGGCAGUUUGUUUAAAAUGUGUGAAGAUUUAGUAAACUCAUGUCCUCCAAAAACAACUCUCAACAGUGCUUCCAAUACGUUAGGUGGCUUAAUUGCACAAGCGGCCAUUGUGAUGAACUCCUUUCAGAGCGGGACUUUACUCACCCAUACUUGCACUGUUCACACAGGUUCUGGUGUCUGAAGAGAAAAACAGACUGCGGAUGAGAGUGACAGGCAGAAAUGCUAAAUGAUAUGUCCAAGGAAAAGGCCUAGUAAGUCCACAGCAGUGACAUGUUCCAGAUGUAUUGGCUUUAACUUACCUCACAAGAUGGAUGGAUGCAGCAGCUUCGUAAAAUAACGACUUGAAUAAAUCUUUUAGCAAAAUUGUUCUUGUGAUGGAUCUAUGCUUUUUAUGUCGGAACUGUCAUUUUUUUUUUUUUUCCCAUUGGACUUAAAAACAAUUCUGGUCUGAAGGUAUUAGCCGAAUCUUCUGACCUGUUGCGACUAGUCAAUAAAGCCAUUGGUUUUUAAACACAAUCCUUUUUAAGCGAUGCGAUAAAUGCCGCAGGUCAGCAAACAUUCACCUCGGUCAACAAGAAUGGAUACAUAAAAAGCUGGCGUCACCGUCCGUGACAAGAAAGCCUAUGCAGUCACCAUUUGAACAACGCAAGCCAAACUUAAAAAUCAACCAAUAAGCGUACAACACAAUCGGAAAAUAACGCAUUGAGACAGUCUCAUAUCGAGACUCGUCUGCAUUUCGUCCUUGGCUUUUCAAGGCGAACGGUCUUGUCGCAAAGUGUCAUAUAUUUAGGUGGGGGUUGGGGGAGGGGUGGGUGGUAAGCCUGUCUGCGAAUUUGCUCGUGUGAUGUCAUCACUAUGAGACACUGGUGUGAUAUCAUGACGGUGAGGUAAUGGCAGGAGAGGAUUGCAAGUUUAUUACUUUGGCACGCGGUUAGUUUGGCUUCUGCAGACUGCAACGCGGUUUUAAUGAGAAUAGAUGAUCUGCUUCAAGCGAUUCGCGUGUGUUUGCGUGUGAAUGAGAGAACACAUGUUCAAGCUAAGAGGCAUUUAUGACAGGAGGUGAUUCAAAUUACGUAUACAGGUAUGGUCAAGGGACUAACAUGGCUUGUGCUUGUGCUAGUUCCGGGCCAGUGCCCUUUCUUUUUCCAGCAGCAAAAUUGGCUCUAGCUCUAGCUUUAGCUCUGGUGCUUAAACUGGCCCCAAUUAUUUGUGGGGCCAGACGCUGGCAACGACGACGUCAGGGGGUGGUGGGCGGCGGGCGGGGUUAUCAUCACGAUUGCAGAUGUAGAGAAAUGACUCACUGGACACAUGGAAGGUUUGCACAAAGUCUUGAGUGGUGAACUCCGGCACAAUUGUGUACCACCAGAAGGACGAUUGGGUGAGGUUGGUUGCUAAGCCAAGUCUAAGCUAACUAUUUAUAAUGUGUUCACAUUUUGUGAAUGUGAAGGUCUUACAUUUUGUAGAAUUUGGUGGAUUGAUAGGAUGUUCCAGUGUAUGACUUGUUUUUACACUUACAUGAUUGUUAAAAAUGUUAAAAUGUUAAUUCGAAAAAUUGCCUGUAUGCUGAACAAAGGUUUUUCAGGCAGCCGCAGUUGAACUCGGGAUUGUCUUAUUUCUACUUCUUUUGUGAAAAUUUGGGAAAUCCAAACAAAUUAGUAGUCAACGAAUGUUUUGGGAACAGAAUGUGUCAGUUAUUAAAUUCCUUUGUGUCUUCUUGCUUCAUCAGCAAAUUGAACAAGACACUG